rnacentral:rRNA from 1 species
CCUUGUACACACCGCCCGUCACACCACGAAAGUUGGCAAUACCCGAAGCCGGUGAGCUAACCCCUCGGGGAGGUAGCCGUCGAAGGUAGGGUUGAUGAUUGGGGUG